GAUGAACGCUGGCGGCGUGCCUAAUACAUGCAAGUCGAGCGAACAGACGAGGAGCUUGCUCCUCUGACGUUAGCGGCGGACGGGUGAGUAACACGUGGAUAACCUACCUAUAAGACUGGGAUAACUUCGGGAAACCGGAGCUAAUACCGGAUAAUAUAUUGAACCGCAUGGUUCAAUAGUGAAAGACGGUUUUGCUGUCACUUAUAGAUGGAUCCGCGCCGCAUUAGCUAGUUGGUAAGGUAAUGGCUUACCAAGGCAACGAUGCGUAGCCGACCUGAGAGGGUGAUCGGCCACACUGGAACUGAGACACGGUCCAGACUCCUACGGGAGGCAGCAGUAGGGAAUCUGCCGCAAUGGGCGAAAGCCUGACGGAGCAACGCCGCGUGAGUGAUGAAGGUCUUCGGAUCGUAAAACUCUGUUAUUAGGGAAGAACAAAUGUGUAAGUAACUAUGCACGUCUUGACGGUACCGAAUCAGAAAGCCACGGCUAACUACG
rnacentral:rRNA from 1 species